UUCAAAAGUGGCAAUAGGCCAACUGGCUCGCUGAUUGGCUGUCAGCCUUGCCACGUCAUACUAUCCCCUGCUGCACAUACCACUAUAGAAGCCCGUGGUUACUUUUUGACCUCGUUUAAAAAAUAUCCUUGAGUUUGAUGCAAACUUGAGGCUUUUUAUGAAAGUUAGUUUUCGUUUUAAGUGACACAUGUGCACGAAACUAAAUAUUUCACUCUAAGUUUUACAAAUUUUGGGAUGAACGAUAACCGUACCCCUGGUGACGUCAUUUGUCGUUUUCCUGAUUUACACAGAAGACAGUCCCCCUAGAAAAGGCCUGAAUGGCGCAUGAUACAAUGUCGGCGCAAACUUGUUUAGCUUUUGUUGCGGGUUGUAUGUUGUAUUACCCACCGUGAUAUUGUGAAAAUAUAUGAAGUUAUUACGAAGUUCUUUUGAAAAUUUACUAGGCUUCUGUGGCAGGCAUUGUCAAAUUGAUCAUCACCAUAAUAUUGACAUGUAAAUGUCCUGCCAUACCUUUCAAUUUGGGCAAAACAGAUCCUGCAUUUCCUACAUAUCCAAAAGAACCAGUACCCAGUCCGCGCAGCGUAGAAGACCUGACAGAUACCGGUGUCCCGUUCGCGCAGCGCAGCGCAAAAGAACCGGCAGACGCCGAUGUCCGGCCCGCGCUUCAAGAACUGACAGACGGCAGAUGCGAUGUCCCGAUGUGCCACCGGGGCAGCGCAGUAAACCCGACGGACGCCGACGUCCAGUCCGCGCAGUGUAACGCAUAAGAACUGACAGACGUCGGUGUCCCGUCCGCUCAGAGCAGUGCAGAGGACCCGACAGUCGCCAGUGUCCCACUCCCGUCCACGCAUUGUAGCACAAAAGAGCGGCAAGGUGGCAUGACAACAACCAGUCACCGCGUCUAAAUCAAGCUUGGCAUGAAAAGCGCAUUUACGACUGCG